GACGAACGCUGGCGGCGUGCUUAACACAUGCAAGUCGAACGAAGUGGCGAACGGGUGAGUAACGCGUAAUCAACCUGGCCUCCAGAGGGGGACAACAGUUGGAAACGACUGCUAAUACCGCAUACUGAAGGUGGGGAUUGCGUCUGAUUAUUGAGUUGGAGGGGUAACGGCCCACCAAGGCGAUGAUCGGUAGCCGGUCCGAGAGGAUGAACGGCCACAUUGGGACUGGGACACGGCCCAGAAUCCUAUGGGAGGCAGCAGUGGGGAAUCUUCCGCAAUGGACGAAAGUCUGACGGAGCAACGCCGCGGGAGUGAUGACGGCCUUCGGGUUGUAAAGCUCUGUUAAUCGGGACGCGGUACCGGAAUAGAAAGCCACGGCUAACUACGUGCCAGCCGCCGCGGUAAUUC
rnacentral:rRNA from 1 species